rnacentral:rRNA from 1 species
UACGAAGGGGGCUAGCGUUGCUCGGAAUUACUGGGCGUAAAGCGCACGUAGGCGGCUCUUUAAGUCGGAGGUGAAAUCCUGGAGCUCAACUCCAGAACUGCCUUCGAUACUGAAGAGCUCGAGUCCGGGAGAGGUGAGUGGAACUGCGAGUGUAGAGGUGAAAUUCGUAGAUAUUCGCAAGAACACCAGUGGCGAAGGCGGCUCACUGGCCCGGUACUGACGCUGAGGUGCGAAAGCCAGGGGAGCAAACGGG